AGCACUGUCUGCAUACUGCACAUUUAUUCUGUUCUGUCUAUUGCCUUGUUUUUGACCUUGUUUGUUUUUUUCGUGUUUGUGAAUGUUUGCUGCCUGCCCUGACCUACGCCUGGAUUAUUGACUUCUGCUUUUGGAUUUCCUUUGAUGUUGUUGUUUGCCUGAUGUGUGACCCUUGCCUGUCUUGGAUUUUGCCUAAUAAACCAGCAUUUGGAUCUAACCUGUUUCACGUUCAUGACAGUAUGUGUGGAACUUCAGAAAUACUGACUGCUGUUAGCUGACAAAAUCAGCAGUUACAGAGUCCUUAUAAAAGCAAGCAAAAUCUUGCAUCCUCCCCCCACAGAUAAACUUGGGGUCACUCCUGAGGGAUUGUGGGUAUUUACAUAUGAAAGUUAAAUCUCCUCCUAUAUGGACAGUCUCACUGAUGGACUUCUCAUAGGACAGAUCUGCAAACCAAACAGUGUCACUACAGUGUAGACCGCCAGUUUAUCAGACACAACAACACCACACGCGUAUGUUCCUGUGUCCUCUAUAUUAAGCUCUCUGAUAAACACGCUGAAGAAUCCUGCACUUCUGUUGUCAUGAAUUGAGAAUCUGCCAU